rnacentral:rRNA from 1 species
UAGGGAAUAUUGGACAAUGGGGGCAACCCUGAUCCAGCCAUGCCGCGUGAGUGAAGAAGGCCCUCGGGUUGUAAAGCUCUUUUGUCCGGAAAGAAAAGCAUUCGGUGAAUACCCGGAUGUUCUGACGGUACCGGAAGAAUAAGCACCGGCUAACUUCGUGCCAGCAGCCGCGGUAAUACGAAGGGUGCAAGCGUUACUCGGAAUUACUGGGCGUAAAGCGUGCGUAGGUGGUUGUUUAAGUCUGAUGUGAAAGCCCUGGGCUCAACCUGGGAAUGGCAUUGGAAACUGGGCAGCUAGAGUGCGGUAGAGGGUAGUGGAAUUCCCGGUGUAGCAGUGAAAUGCGUAGAGAUCGGGAGGAACAUCUGUGGCGAAGGCGACUGCCUGGACCAGCACUGACACUAAGGCACGAAAGCGUGGGGAGCAAACA